rnacentral:rRNA from 1 species
AUUGAACGCUGGCGGCAUGCCUAACACAUGCAAGUCGAACGGUAACGCGGAGAGCUUGCUCUCUGGCGACGAGUGGCGGACGGGUGAGUAAUACUUAGGAAUCUGCCCAGUAGUGGGGGACAACAUUCGGAAACGGAUGCUAAUACCGCAUACGCACUACGGUGGAAAGCGGGGGAUCUUCGGACCUCGCGCUAUUGGAUGAGCCUAAGUCGGAUUAGCUUGUAGGUAGGGUAAUGGCCUACCUAGGCGACGAUCCGUAGCUGGUCUGAGAGGACGAUCAGCCACACUGGGACUGAGACACGGCCCAGACUCCUACGGGAGGCAGCAGUGGGGAAUAUUGGACAAUGGGCGCAAGCCUGAUCCAGCAAUGCCGCGUGUGUGAAGAAGGCCUGCGGGUUGUAAAGCACUUUCAGUAGAGAAGAAAAGCUUACGGUUAAUACCCGUGAGUCUUGACGUAACCUACAGAAGAAGCACCGGCUAACUCCGUG